UUUCGCAGUUCCAACUCCCUUUGCAAAGAAUCCGAGGAGCUAAACUCGUUACCGCGCUCGUACAAAUAUUACUGUGUUACUGCAUCUGCCGGUGUCUCUGCUGUUCCGGUAUCCCUACGCGUCCAUCACCGGCCGGUGAGCGUCGGCCUCGCUCAGUCUCGCUACUGCUCAUGUUCUCUGUGAGAUGAAAUCUGACGAUGGACACCAUGCUGAUCGCGUGUUAGACUCAGAAAUCGGAUAAAUGGAGGAAACCGAGGGCGAUUCCAUGCUCGGGGAGGUGAUUAUUGGCUGCGGGAACCCUAAGGUUAUCGAGUUGGAAGAGCUGCAGCAGCAGCUAGCCAGGUUUUUGAGUUCAUCGUCGGCCUCAGGAAGGAAAAACCGAAAAAGAGCAAAAAUAAUACCUCACAAAGUGGCUUGAGUUGGUUAUCGUGGUCGAUUCUUUUGUUUCAUGCCCGCUUGUAAUUGGUUCGAUUCUGAGCUUUAGUUGAUUAAUUCGCGGGUUAGCGGCACGGCAAUCUGAUGAACUGUUCAGCAUAAGUAUCUGCAACAGUUUAAUGAAUUGGAUGAUAUGCAAAGAAAGGUAGAGGUUAGGAAACUUUCCAUGGGUGAUAUGAUGAGGCAGAUGAAGGAGACAAAGGAGGAUGUGAAAAGCAAAACAGAGCAGCUUGGCGUAGCUCUAGGAUCACUGCUGGCAGCCCGAAAGAAAGUUUGUGCAGCACAUCAGCCAGAAAGAAAGACGUUUCCUUUCUAAGCAAAACAGAGCAGCUUGGCGUAGCUCUAAGAUUACUGCUGGCAACCUAGGGGAUCAUUGAGAAUAUUGCAUCAAUACCAGCAGCACAUCAAGAAGAGUGCAUGUAGAACUUUACAAAGCCUGCUAAUGAUGUAGAUGAUCAACUUGCAGCUAAUGAGACCAAGUUGCUGUUAGAGGAGGUAGACUUGGACAUUGAGAAGAACAUUGAUGAUGUUAGUAGUAAGGAUUUGACAUCGUCAGAUGAAAGUGAAUCAUCUAAUGAUUAAUAGUUAUGAGGACCUAUAGAAGUAAUCGAAUCAUUUGGUGCUGAAAAUCUGAGACCAGGACCAAGACAUAUAUAUCAGCUAAUCUGAAGGAACUCUUGAUGAUCAUUUUUUCUCAGGAAUUUCUUGAGAAAUAAUGAACUCCGCAUUAUAAUGGAGCAGCUUGAAAGGUUUCCUUUUUGAAGCUAAUGGCGAAGGAUCAUGAUCAUAUAGUUUUUGUUAAUGGUGGUGGAAGCGACAGCCCUGCUCCUCUUGUAGACUGCGCAGGGCUAUGCGGGGUGCGGUGUAGCGACUCACAGCCG